AUUGAACGCUGGCGGCAUGCUUUACACAUGCAAGUCGAACGGCAGCGGGGGCUUCGGCCCGCCGGCGAGUGGCGAACGGGUGAGUAAUGCAUCGGAACGUGCCCAGUCGUGGGGGAUAACACAUCGAAAGAUGUGCUAAUACCGCAUACGUCCUGAGGGAGAAAGCGGGGGAUCUUCGGACCUCGCGCGAUUGGAGCGGCCGAUGUCGGAUUAGCUAGUUGGUGGGGUAAAAGCCCACCAAGGCGACGAUCCGUAGCGGGUCUGAGAGGAUGAUCCGCCACACUGGGACUGAGACACGGACCAGACUCCUACGGGAGGCAGCAGUGAGGAAUAUUGGUCAAUGGACGCAAGUCUGAACCAGCCACGUCGCGUGAAGGAAGACGGCCCUACGGGUUGUAAACUUCUUUUAUACGGGAAUAAAGUGCCCCACGCGUGGGUUUUGCAUGUACCGUAUGAAUAAGGAUCGGCUAACUCCGUGCCAGCAGCCGCGGUAAUUCACACU
rnacentral:rRNA from 1 species